GGAGAAUUGUCCGAGUGGCUGAAAGAGCUCCCCUGCUAAGGGAGUGGUGGCGCAAGCUGCCCGAAGGUUCGAAUCCUUCAUUCUCCG
rnacentral:tRNA from 1 species